AGAGUUUGAUCAUGGCUCAGGAUGAACGCUGGCGGCGUGCUUAACACAUUCAAGUCGAACGGAGUUCAAUCGGGGAGCUUGCUCCCGGCUGAACUUAGUGGCGGACGGGUGAGUAAUGCAUGAGCAACCUGCCUUCAGGGAGGGGGGAUAACAUCGGGAAACCGGUGCUAAUACCGCAUAGAGCAUUUUGCAGGCAUCUGCGAGAUGGGAAAGGAGCAAUCCGCCUGGAGAUGGGCU
rnacentral:rRNA from 1 species